rnacentral:snoRNA from 1 species
CCCCUCUCAGGAUCGCACCUGGAGAGUUUCCAGUAAUCUACUAGUCUCGACUACGGAAGGGAGAGUCAAGCAGAGGCCUACCCAUUCCAUUCCUAGCUUGGCCAGUGACUAGAGAGUGGAAGGCCAUCCGCUACAAGU